ensembl:lncRNA
AUGACAUCAGAGCCAGGCGGACCGCAGUCGGACACAUUUCUAACCGGCAUGCAUCUCGCGGUGAUCAUCGGUGAUCGGUUCUGCGCAGAUUUUGCUCAUCUCAAACAAGCCUAUUUUUUCAACAGGAAGUUGAAUUAUCCAGAUCUUCUGAAGGCAGUGGGGAGACCAAAGAGUGCUAAUCCACCACUAAGUGCUGCAGAGAAGCAGCGAAAGAUACAGGAAGGACCUACUGCAGAAGUCUUAUUAGAAAGGGAUCCAGAAGCACCCUCCAUGGCAUGCUGACGGACAGGACAUAGUUCCACCACAUUCUCAAUCUCUGUUUUCCUUGUUUCUCUCCUCUUUCCAUCUCGAAUGUGAUGAACUACAUGGACAUAACACAUUCCUUCAGACAUCUUUCUCUCACACACAGGCUAUGUACACACAUGCACACACACACAAACGCACACAGAGUGUCUGGAUGUUCAUUCCUGUGUCUAGGUGUUCAUUCCUGUUACGCACUGUUCAUUCCUGUUAUUAAAUUGUUUUGUUCUAAAAAAUUAAGUUAAACGACUGUUUUUUUUUUUCAUCUGUGUUAUGUUAAUCAUUUAUCCAAUAGUUUACUUAAUAACAUGACUUUAAAAAUUAUAAUCCUUUAGUUUGGGUCUCCUGUAAAAUAAAAAAUGGCUUUGCUUUUUUUUUUUAAUUACA